rnacentral:sRNA from 1 species
UGUUAGAUCAUCUUUCGAGUAUAUGCACAGGAGAGGUAUAGCUGGGUUGACACACUUGAGAGCAUAGAAAAUGAAUUAUUCUUUAUCUCAGAUGUCUGUUGUUGCUCAGAGUCAGUGGUUGUAUGGUUAGGCCACAUUUCGAGGGGCAGGAUCUGCCCAAGCUCCAGGCUGCUACACAGGACCCUGCACAGUACCUUGACCUUGGUGCUGGCUGCCCUGCUGAUAGGUGUCCUGGCCAUGACCAUUUUGUGUUUGUGGCUCCCUGGCAGGCCUUCAGCCCCCCACUCUCCAGCACCCACACCCCAUGGGUAUUGCAAACUGCAGCAGCUGGGUCUGCAGGGACAUGGGUUAAGGUGUUCUUGGUAGUAGUUCAAGCCUCCCGGGAGCCAAAGGACAGACUCUACUCACAAGCUCCUUUGCCAGCUGACUGUGCACCCAUUCCUGUGGCAUCCACUGGGACUUUAGUCCUGCUUCUCUCUGCCACAGGUUCCAUUCCAUUUCACCAGUUUUUUUUUUAUCCUAAGUUUUUAUUUCUGUUUCUAUAUCUUGAAUAGUUUUGCCUAAAGCAAAUAUUAUCUUUCUCAUGCUGCUAAAGUAAUGCCUACCUGAUUAUCUUUGACAACAGAGAUUAUUUUUUUCUCCCUUCUGAAGGCUAGCAGCACAGUCAGGGUGUCAGCAGGUCCCGGCACUCUCAGGCUAUGAAGGAGAAUCUGUUCUUGGCUUUGUUCCUUCCUGGAAGCUGUUGGGCCAUCUUUGAUGUCUUUGCCGUCACCUUCACGUGUGUUCUCUUCAUGCAUACGUUUGUUUCUGUGUCCAUGCUUCCCGAUUUAUAAGCAUGCAAGUGAUAUUGGACCAGAAUUUACUCUAAUGACUUCAUUUGAUUUUGAUUACUUGUAAAAAUUUCAUUUUCAGAUAAGAGCACAUUCAGGAACUAGUGUUUAGGACACCAUCUGGGAAGAUAAACUGUAUGAAUAGCUAACGUUUCUGAAGAAGUAUAUCUGGAAGUUCUUUAAUAGUGGUUUUAUAUAUACGUGUGAAGUUUAUUAAAAUACUGGGAUAAUUAUGAGUGUAUGCCAAUCGAUGAGUCAUGUCUAAAUAUUUGUUUUUGAGACAGGACUUGUUUAGUCUUACAAAAAAUAUAUACAUACAUAGUUUAAUGAAAGAUUUUCUAUGUGGACUGACAAGAGCCAUAAACUAACCAAGGCCUUAGCGCCAGGUAUGAGAAUCUAUUUUUGAAUUCUUGGCUGCUGUUGUCCAAGAGACUUCCAAAACAUUUUGGGUUAUUUAUGUUGCUAUUGGUUACCCCAAAGGUGGACAUUGAUAAGUCCCAUGAAGACAUCAAGCACUUCAGACACAGGACCAGAGGAUUUGAACUAUAUGCAACCUGAAAGCCUCAUUCCUGAGGACCACCUUGCAUAAUAUGAGAAAGUGCCACAUGUACUUCCAAAGGAGAGAAGAAGCAACAGUCCUUCCUAGACCCAGCUGUACAUCCUGUGCACUGCAACAAUGACCAGAAUGGCAAGCGUGCCCUAUGGGUAUGGUACUGAUACACAUUCCUUGUUGGUGGCCAUGCGAUGGCAUCAUAGGUUGCUGCAGAUGGUUUCAAUGGUUCUGUUGGAUGUUCUUCAUCUGUGCCUGCAAGAGGCGCCCAAGGCUUUAUGUAUGGCCAUUGCUAUGACCUAGUGUGAUGCUCUACUUUCCCGCUGAACUUUACUUGCUAGAACUGAGGAGCUUGGCUAUAAUUUAGCCUUUUCUUUUUGUAUUUAGCUGUUGUUGAGGAAGGAGCUUUGGGAAUAGAAGUAACCAGGCAGCAGGUCCAUUUUCACUGUUGAAGGCAGCUGAAAACUCAUCCCUACUGAUGAACCACUGCUAUGAAUGAUGUUACUGCCAACUUGGAUGUAAAAGUCUUUUUGGGUGGUCCCAGGCUGAGAGUUUGUGGAGUUGAUCUCUCCAAGCAUCACCCAGCUUGUCUUCACAACAUUCAGCUCCUACCAGACCAUAGAUGCCACUGGUCCUGAAUGCUUAUACUCUACCAGAACAAUAAAGAAGAGACAAUCCUUCAUGUUGAUGUAAUGCUCAAGAAGGUCUCGUGAAACCUGCAAGAAUUUCAACCCAGCAAGCAGGAAUUCCUUCUGUUUAAAAUGCUGGAUGAUUUCUCUCAUGAUCGACCUACUGCUGGUCCCUAUCAGACUUGAUAGCAAUGAAGGUUCUCUCACUGUUAGUUAUUCAUGGUCCACUUCAGAAGUCAGGUCUUUAACUUGAGCACUCACUUCCAGUUAGUUUCUGACACGUCUAGGAGAUUCUCUGACCCUCUUACUCUUAUUAUUUUCUUGCCUCCUCUCUUACAAUGUUAAUGUGCCUUGAGCUUUAAGUACAGGAGUAUUUGGUAGAUAUGUCCACUAGGACUAGAACCACAACUCUAAAGUUUGGUUGGUUGUGUCUUUUGAAAUGGUCUCUGUCUGCUGCAAAGAGAAAUUUCCUUGAUGGGGUGAGAAAUAAAAUGGUCUCGGGUGUGAGGACAAAUAUUAAGAUUGUUUUUAGGUGGAGUCUCAGGGGAUACACAAAUCUCACCCAAGGGCAGGCCUCAUGCCCAACAUUAGAGCCUAACACAAAAUGAACUCAAUGUAUUUUUUGGACACACACACACACACACACACACACACA